ensembl:lncRNA
UGUGUGGAUAAUUAUUAGUCCAACUAGACAUGAUUUCGUUAAGGGUAUGAGCUUUCAUAUUCUGUAAACCAGUGUGUCCAGAGUUCCAAGCAGUUUUCUCCAUGAAGGGUUGGAUUCUACAACCCAUGCAGCUACCCAGACCUUCUCAAGUACCAAUAUGCUAAGAGCAAUCCAUCAACUCUACUCAACAAGCAGAACCUCAAACCCGCAUAGCAAGUACUGCAGAUUGAACCCAGGGCCUCUCACAUGGUAAGCAACUGAGCUACAUCUAUGGCCCUUGUUUCUUUUUAACUAUUAUUUGACUUUGGUUUGUAUACUCUAGCCAACUCAAUAAGGCAGGAAAAAAGAAAUGAGUCUGCCCAUUUCCCAGUUUCAUGAUGCUAUCUCCCAUGAUGUUAUCACUCAUGGCUCAGCAGUACGUCUAAAGCUACUGGCUGCUGGUUUCAUCAAGUAUAUACACUUUUUGUAGCUUGAUUAUCUUUUUUCCCAAUAUUUGAGACUGAAGCCAAGGCCUUCAUACUGAGCUACAUCCCUGGCUUUUUUUUUUUAACUCAUCUGUAUUUAUUUAUUUAUUUAUUUAUUAUUUCUAUUUUGAGAUAGUACUUAGCAACUUAGUGAGACCCCAUCUCCAGGUUGGGUUUGAGCUUUGAUCUUCCUGCCUCAGCCUCUCAGAGUGCUGGGAUUACAUGCCUGUGCCGGCACACCCAGUCAGUCGUAGCUUGAUUUUUUAAAAAGUCUAAGCAAACUCUGAAUAAGUAAAUACCAAAAGCCUUAAUAAAUACUAUGUUUUACUCCUUUUCUCUACUUACAUGAUUAUUUCAAGAGAGGAUAUUCAGGGGCCGAGGAUUUAGCUCAGUGGUUUCGCCGUCUGCUACCCAAGUGCAAGGACCAGAGUUCGAUCCCCGGUACCAAAAAAAAAAAAAGAGAGGAUAUUCUGAUAUUAAGCCCUUUUAUCUGGUGCAAAGUCUGUGUGGUUGCUACUUAGUACCACUAAACUCAAUCUGUGACUUUAUCUGGCAUUUUUUAUGCCCACGCCAGAGCUCACUCUUUAGCCUUCUUUUUAUAUAAUCUUUGUAAUGGUGCUGGUCCCCAGAGCUGUACUAGCAUUGUAAAAUCAAUUAUCCCAGACACUCUGGCUCUCUUCCUAGACUCUGGAAAAGUUUGUUUUGCAGGCAAUUCUUUGGUUCCCCCAACUUUAAAAGAACUUACCCAUUAAACUUAUUCAUCCUGGGCCCUUUUUAGAAGUUUUUUGUUUUUUUUUAAUGUCUAGCUUCUUCCUUAGUUCCUGGUUUAAAGUUUCAGACAUCUGAAUCAUUUCCCUGAAAUACACAUGACACUGAGGUUUUCAAAGUUGUUAUAUUUUAAGUUAUUGUGUUUUAUAUUACAAAAUAAUGAUUCCAAAUGUAACUUGUAAUUUGUUAGUCUUUUUCCAUCCCAACAACUCAUUUUUAGUUUUGACUAUGUGGUUUUCUCUUUUCUUAAUUAGACAUGAUAGUGCUUUAGUCUAUUUUCCUGAUUUUUUUUCUCAAAUAGCUCUUAGAUUUAUCCACUCAACACUUCUGUCUGUUUUUCUAAUUCACAAAUAUCAAUUCUACCUUACAAUUCUUUACUCCAGCUGUCUCUAGGCUUGUUUUAUUCUUUCUAACUUUGAGCUGAACACUUAAUCCAUUUAUUUUCAUUUUCUCUUAUUUAAUAAUGAAGGGAUUUCAAGCUAUGAAUGUGCCCCUAAAUAUAACUUUGGUAAUAACCAAAAUGGUUAUCGAAAUAACCAUUUAAAUAUACAGAGUUUUCACUACUGCCUAAUGAUUCUGUAAUAGUAAUUUCAUUUCCUCUUUGACCCACACUUGAUUCUGGAGAAUUCUUUUUAAUUUUCAAGUAACUGGAUUUCAUUAACAUGUUUAACACUAAGUAUUCCAUGGAAGAGGAAAACACCUCUGAAAGAAAAU